GACAGAGGGUGCAAACGUUGUUCGGAAUUACUGGGCAUAAAGAGCACGUAAGCGGCCCGCCAAGUCGCACGUGAAAUCCCCCGGCUCAACCGGGGAAUGGCGCGCGAUACUGGCGGGCUAGAGGUCGGUAGGGGUGAGUGGAACUCCAGGUGGAGCGGUGAAAUGCGUAGAUAUCUGGAGGAACACCGGUGGCUAAAGCGGCUCACUGGACCGACGCUGACGCUGAGGUGCGAAAGCUAGGGUAGCAAACGGG
rnacentral:rRNA from 1 species